rnacentral:rRNA from 1 species
UGCCAGCCGCCGCGGUAAUACAGAGGGUGCAAGCGUUAAUCGGACUUACUGGGCGUAAAGGGUGCGUAGGCGGAUUGAUAUGUCAGCUGUGAAAGGCCAGGGCUUAACCUUGGAAAGUCAGUUGAAACUGUUAAUCUAGAGUGGAGUAGAGGUGAGUGGAAUUCCUGGUGUAGCGGUGAAAUGCGUAGAUAUCGGGAGGAACACCAGUGGCGAAGGCGACUCACUGGGCUCACACUGACGCUGAGGCACGAAAGCGUGGGUAGCGAACAGGAUUAGAUA